rnacentral:lncRNA from 1 species
CCCAUUGUAGCCAAUAAACUGCAUCAAGAAAAUAAUCUAGACAAAAAAUAUUGCAACAAUCGUAGUAUUUUAUUUUAAAUGAUUUAAAUGUUACAAUCUUUGUGAUUCCUCUGAUUCUUCUUUUCUGAUAUAAAUUCAAGGGCUAUUGAGCUUGAUCUUGAAUUUAGGCUUGUUUCCACGUAUGAUGAUCUUGAAUUCAGCUAGCACAAACUUUGAUUUGAACUCGUACUCCUUGUACCUUGAUGUGUUCUUUGUUCUUGAGUUUGAACUUGAUUUCUUUAACUUGAACUUGAUUGCUUGAAGCUUGUAGAGAAGUUUGCGGCGUUUGAUCCACGGGCUCUUUCUUGCUUCUUGUUAUGACUUCUGGUGUCUUUUUUGAGUUAUGAAGACCACUAUUUAUAGUUGUGGAAGAGAAGAGUUGUCAUGAGAACAAACUCUUUCCGACCAAUCAGAUUGAAGCAUGACAAGACAUUAUUUGAUUGGCCAAAACAUAUCACUUGCACAUGUGGUGCAAUUUCAUUGCCCUUUUAAUUUGACUUGGCAUGCCUUAUAUCAUUUUUGACAUGUGUCAUGAUCCUAUUGGCUCUUUCGUUUGACUUGGUAUGCCAAAUCAUUUGACAUGUGGCACCAAACUGGACCUCUAGGAAGAUGACAUCUUGGGCUUAAUGAAGUGGAUUUAUCACUUGAAGCCCAAUUAAAUGGGCUAGCCAAUGGAUUUGGACUUAUUUAUUAAUUCAUAUAUAUUGGACUUAUAUAACUAAUCUAAUUAUAUUAGCGUAAUAAAUUUAUUUGAACUAAUAUAUUUUGAAUUUAAAAUAUUGUCCAAAUUAUUUUAUUAAUUUAAUUGCAAUAAAAUUUACAUGCCUACGCCCAAAUAUUUCAAUUAAAUAUCCAGAAUUCUUCCUUUGCUGUAAAAAAAAGGUCGUAAUAUGCCAUGUAGUCACGUACAUGAGUAGAGCUAGAAGACUGAGUACAAAUUCAAUUGAACUCAAUAAGUUUUGUUCAAAUAAAAUAUUUGUGUUAAAAAUUUAUUAAAUAUAAAUAAAUUGUAAAUUUAGAAUUCACUUAUUAAUACUUAAAGUCGUCAUUCUAUAAUUCAAAACCUAUAAAGUUAAAAUUCUAACUCUACCUCCGAUCACGUAUCGGAACGCUUGAUUGAAGAUGCCAUGUCGAUCUUCCUAAUAAUGAAAUUAGUUUAAAGGAAACUUUAAUUGUUUUUCUUUAUCCUAUUUUAUCCUCAUUAAUGUUCAUGGGGUUUCUUUUAUGAUUUUGCACGGAAAUAAAGAAAUUAGAUGCAAAUAGAAAAAACUAUUUAAAAAAAGUUCAUAUGAUAAAAGAGGGCACAUGUUGGGAGAGACAAUUAAGUACUUUUUUUAUCUUAGAAUUAAACCAUGCUAUAAUCUCUCUCUCUAUAUAUAUAUACGGUCAUGGGCCAAUGUGCAUAUAUAACUGAAUGUAAUGCAUAAAAAGUAAGUUAAUAAGAUUUCUCGAUAUGUCAUAAGAUCAUUACGCCUUUAAUUAAUAUCAUAAAAUAAACUUUAUCAACUUACGUAUUUUCUGAGACCCAUAAACAGACGAUUGAAUAAUAGGACAUAUGGUGAAUCAAGAAUAUAGUAACCCCUAGUACUUUUAAGAAUAGAGUCAAUUGUGAAAGUUGCGUGUUUGCUCGUUUUAUGUGUAUCAUAUGGAUCAUGAAAGAAGGGAUAGUCUUAACAUACCUGAGUCGAUUCUCUUAACAAUCUCUCUAACCCACGUCUUUUGCGAAAAACACAUAACGACGGAUCGAAGUAGAAAAGAAUCCGUAUGAUAUUCUUGAAAAAGAUUGUACCGUGCUCUUUUAGAAUUGUAUCUCACGUUGUUGUUACGUUAUGAAAUCUCGUAUGAAUUUUUGAUGAAGCUUUCCUCCAUUACUUAGCA